GUAUCUGAAACAGGAGUUUUGAUUAAACCCAUAUGUGACUCUGAGGUCUGUUACAAAGAGACACGUAAUUAUUCCCUCUGUGACCCCAUGAUAUCUUGUGCUUGGGCUUCUGUGGUUUGUGAAGAUGGAUUGUAUGUUUAUGAUAAAACUGACCCACAAACAAAUACAAUGUAUCAGUGAAUGAAAAAAAGGACAAGUCAUGUCCCUCAUUUUUUUUUUCUAUAAAAGAUGUAAUGAAAUGAGGAUAAUUAUUAAAACCUGACUGAUACUCUGACUCCCCAUAAAGGAAUAAUGAGGGCUCUUACUGCUCUGGAAAGGAGUAUAUCGUCAUUUGUACGUAACAGAGUUUUUAUGUCUGUGUCGGUGCUGGAUUGCUGACUGAUCGUUUUAUUAAGGAAAUGGAAAUACAUUUACUCUAUAAAUAGUUGGUUAAAUAACCACAUAAUUGAGAGCCAAGCAGCAACCAAUGAUUAGAAUGUUUUAUGUGACAACACUCAUAAUUAAUACUAUCUUUCCUUUUUACUGAUUUUUUUAAGACAAUUAUAAAGAAGCAAGUCUGUUCUUGGUGAGAGUGACUGGGCAGACAUACAUUUUGUUCAGUGUUCUUGUUCGGUGUCGAUGAGAUCACAGACACUGUCUUUGUGUAAAAGAAAAUUACACUGGCCUUUGUGUAAUUUUACAUCUCAAUCUAUUUUUAAAAAGCCAGCAAACCACAGACCAGUGAAGAGUACAUUCUAAUAUGAGGAUGAUGAUUUAUUUUGUUUUGUUUUCCAAUGACAGAUAUUCUAGAAAAAAUUCUAGGUGCUCCCGUUUUUUGAAAGAUACACCUGGACUUUUUCAAGUUGUGAUAAUUUGGCUCUGACUUGGUGUUUAACCAUUUUGAGUUUUCUUUAGAAAAAAAAGUUUUAUUCCUUGAAUAAUAAAAAAAUAAGUGAACAAGUGAAUUCAUAUCCAUAAAUCCAUAUAGUGGUGGAUUGGUGAGAUGAUACCAGGAAACAAAUUUAAUGUGACCAGUUCUGCACAAAUAAGUCCAAUACGAAGAUGAUCUUGGCGCUCUCUACGUGGGCAGCAAGUAAAGUCAGAUGUCUCAAAUUGUUACAGUUUUUAUUUUGUGUUGAGGAAUGAAUUCAAUGGUAUUCAUAUUACUUAAUCAUCAAAUUUAAGUAAAUGAAUAAAAGAGGGUCAUUUUUGCAAAAAUAAUGAGAUUGUAUUAUGAAGUAGGGUUUAUGAUUAUCUUACCCUCCUGACAAAUAUCACUGUUAAGAAAGCUACCUGUAUCUUCACUGUUUUUCAAAAUAGGCUUUCUUUAUCCUUUGCAAAAUGAACACCACACCGCUGAUGAAUCAUUCUCUCAUUGGGAAGACUUCUGAGCCUAAGGAGCAUAAAGCCUGAUAGUGAACGUAGGAUUAAAUCAUUUAAUAAAGAAUUGUUACCAUGAGCAAGGAACACUAAUAAUGAAAAUCCUCUGUCAUAUUUGACUAUUAUCUCAUGGUGAUGAUCUUGCCUUUUACCUCUUUGGGUAAAGACAGAAGAUGCCAGUAAUGGAUGCACAGUGAUUCAGUUAAGGAUUGUAGCAACUUACCCUGCUGAGCAGCUUGUGGUCGCGAGCUCUGUGGUUGCCUCUGUGUGCCGGGAGCGUAGAGACCAGGGUGUGUACAUCCAGGCUGAUUCAAGCAUCGUGCCUUGGCCGGUGAUCUCUGUGCCCGUCCGGGCCCGGAAACCGAUGUGGAAUGCAUGGAUCCACAGGGAGCAUCUCAGGCUUGUUAUCACCUGCUCUGUAUGCCCCAGAAUGGACACACCUGGACUUAUUUAAGCACUGGCUGUGAUCAGAAGCUCCGUGGAUACCCCUGUGUUAAGAGCUUGGAGACUAGUAAAUGAACAAAGAACAGGAGACCCAAACCUGAGCCGUUGGUGGCAAAUGGUGGCACAGGAGUCUGGGUUGGGUGGUAAAUCGUGUGUGUCUGGAACUCUGAGGUCCAGCACAAAAAUAGUAGAUUGAUGAAUUAAUGCAUGAACAACAAAUGUAGCUGAGAAUGAAGAAAAAGAGGCCCAGACUUGGACCGGUGAUGAUGGCUGAUGGAGAAUGAGCCCCAUUGGAUGAAUGCCGCGUGUCUGGAGUCUGAGGUCUGAGAGCAACACAAAAUCUUGUCCAUUUCUCCCCGUGCAAAGGAUCCUGUGGAUCGGUGUUAUCAGGAAUAUACAAGGAUGUUGUUCGUAUAAUUUUGGAUUCAUGGAUUUCUAUGUUAUUAAUACAAGUGGAUCAAUGACAGAACCAAUAAACAAAUACAUAAAUAAAUAAGGGAAGAAAAAGCUCUGAAUACAUGUGGUGGGGCAAGAAGUACUGUUCAUGUAAACUGAAGAAACUCACGUAUAUUAAGAAAUAAAUGGACCAGGGCUGUUACCUCUUUUUCUAAGGAUCAUCUGGACACUGAAAGGGAAUCGAUGCACUCAAGCUGAUGCCACCAUUUUGCACGGUCAGGAGCUUAUGGUUUCCCCAGUGCGUGAAGAGCAUAGAGACAAAUGUUCUAUUCAGAACAGAUGCUCCAAGCAGGCUUCAGCUCCUGCCGUGACCAGGUAUCAGGAAAGAGACCAAGAAUGGACGCCCUUGUGCUGAUUUAAACAUCUCCCGGGGAGAUGAGUUCUGUGAUUGCCAAUCCGUGUGUUAGGAGCACAGAGACCAGCGAGAAGUUAAAUAAAUAUUUUCCCAAAUUGCUAAUUCCUUAAAUGACCCAUGAAAUGAAAUGGAAUGAAAGAACCAAUGGCGAUAAGUCCUCAACGAGCUCUUUUGCCCUGUCGUAAUGGACGUCCUUGAGCUGAUUUCUCCAUGAUCACAAACUCUACAGUUGCAUAUAUGUGUUAGAGGUUGGAGACCAAUGUUUUCCUUAAACAUUUCUUAACUGAUGAAGAUGUAAGCGUUCUUCAAUAUGAGGAAAGAGAAUUUCUUCAUUUCAUUACGAGGAAAGUGGGAGAUAAUAGAUGCUGGAGCUGAUUUCAGCUUCUGACAUGAACAAGAUUGUCCUGUCGCCCCUGCCAGGAAGGAGAUGGUUUCUUCAGAAUGGAUGCACUCGAGGUGAUUAAAGCAUCUUCCACGGUCACGAGCUUUAUGGUCACGUCUGUGCAUUAGGGCAGGGGGACUAAUAAUGGACACACUUGAGCUGCUUAAACGUCUUCCGUGGUCGCGAGCUCUGUGGUUGCAUCUGUGUGUUAGGAACUUGGAUACCAGUUGAAUUAAUCAGCAAACAAAUAUAGAUGACAGUAGAGAAAAAGAGCCAGUCCUGGACCAGUGAUGAUGACUGAUGGCAUAUGAGUCAAAUACGAUGAAUACUACGUGUCUGGAACUCUGAGGUCCAACGUAGAACAGAUCUGCCCCCUGUGGCUGCAGUGAUCCUGUGCAGAUACCAGUGCAUGCAAGGCUGUGCUUUGUACUUCUUAAAAUGCACACGCUCGAGCUGAUGAAGCAUUGUUCCACGAGCCGAGCUCUGUGAUGGCGCCUGUGUGUCGGGAGCAGAGACCCACGAGCUCUGUGGUUGCAUCUGUGCAUUAUGAGCAUGGAGAGCUGUAAUGUGCUCUUGAGUUGAUCGCAGUUUCCGCCAUGUCAAGAUUAUCAUGUUGCCUGUUUCUGGAAAGAGACUGGGGAAAAAAAUAAAUACCAAAUCAAUGAUUUGGUGAGAAGCAAGGACCAGUGGAGAAAUGUGUCACCCUGUUGGCUCAUUCGCUCUGCGCAGCCUCAGGACAGGCGCCCCACACCUGCGCGAGGGUCCUCCCUCCAGCACAAGCCCCCGGGGCGCCUCUGCGUUUUAGGAACCUGGAGCCCAGUGAGCCUAAGUGCUUGAUUACAUGACGGCUGUAAAGCAAGAAUCGGUGGGGAGAACGUCUCAAUUUUUUCACCUCCUCUUGGUAUUCUUCAGAACGGAUGCUCUGGCUAAUUUUGGCUCUGCCCUGGUCAAGACUGUGAUGCUGCUCUGUGUUAGGAGAGAGACCAAGAACAUGCUCGAGCUGAUGAAGCAUUGUUCCACAGGCCGAGCUCUGUGAUGGCGUCUGUGUGUCGGAACCAGAGACCCACAAUGGAUGCACCUGAGCAGAUUUAAAUAUGUCCCAUGGUCACAAGCUCCAUGGUUGCCCCUCUAUAUGUGUAUUAGGAGGAUGGAGAUUCAUAAUGGACAAAUUCCACCUGCUGCACAGAUUCUUCUUGAUCAAGAGCCUGAGGGUUGGUUGUAUUUCUGUUUUAGAAACUAGGAGACCAACGUGACUAGUAAUCAAAGUUGUCCUGGUUUUGGUGUUUUGUUAAGGAUAAUUGUAUAAGUAUACUAUAUACUUUUUAUAUAAAAAGUACAAAGUAUAAUCAAAGAGGGCCAACUGUUUCCUGGUGAUGAAUACAGGGUUGAUAGGAAGGAUUAUGUUGAUUAGAGCAUUUAUGAAGUGGGAUAAUUAGUGACAGAUAUACUGAUGGGCACAUGAUUCUAGAUACAUAUUAGGGAUAACAGUUCCUUCUUGGGGUUUUGUGAAUUGUACAGUUUUAAAACUAUGGUUAGUGAAUUAAUGAAUUAAUCAAUAAACAUGUAGAAAUGAGUGAAGAGAAAGUGGUCUUUCUGGAUCGAUGAUGGUGACUGUGGCGUAUGAGGCAUGGAUG